CCACAGGAUAGUGCAUUCUUGUUCAAGUGUGGACUAAUUCUGAGCAAUCCAUUUCCAAUCGUGUCAAUCUUCAGUAUAUAUAUACCGAUUGUGCACAUAUUUGCCUUGAUACGACUCUGCAAAUUUGCUCAUUUGCGCUGGAAAUGAUUUUCCGCCAUUCGUCACUUCUUCCACUUGCUUCAGACCAAAUUUCAUCGUCUUCAGUGUUCUGGAAGCCCAACAGUAGUGCUUCUACGAGUAUCUGUUCGAUUGAGUACUCAAAAUUGUGAAAGUAUUUAAAAUAUGUGGGUGUGUACAGCCCCAUACUUAUUCAAAUUCAAUCUAUUGGACAACGAGAGCAAGCCCACGGCAGUAUGUCCUGUCCGGUGUUUCCUAAUCAACCAUCGUUUUUGAUCUUUGAGAUCAGGUAGUACUCAUCAACGACAAAAUUCAACUAUGCUCCGCUCUCUUCAACUGAUCUUCGCGCUCUUUGCUUUCGGUCUGCGCUCUUAACUAAAGCAUGUUGGACUUCUCUUUGGACCUAAUCGGCGCUCCGCUCGUUUAAAGAUCCGCUCUUAACUUACAGCAUUUACAUAUGCACUUUUCAUCUUCCUAUCUCAUAUAUUGAGUGGUAGGAGGUGUCGAUAUUCGUUGUUCUCUGAACCGAUUAAUUCGAUUUCUGACUAAUUCAAAUUGGAAUAAAAUAAAUUAUGAUCCCGAGGC